CAGCCGCCACGGUAAUACGUAGGGUGCGAGCGUUAAUCGGAAUUACUGGGCGUAAAGCGUGCGCAGGCGGUUGUGUAAGACAGGUGUGAAAUCCCCGGGCCUAACCUGGGAACUGCGCUUGUGACUGCACAGCUAGAGUAUGGCAGAGGGGGGCGGAAUUCCACGUGUAGCAGUGAAAUGCGUAGAGAUGUGGAGGAACACCGAUGGCGAAGGCAGCCCCCUGGGCCAAUACUGACGCUCAUGCACGAAAGCGUGGGGAGCAAACAGGAUUAGAUACCCGGGUAGUCCCUGUCUCUUAUAC
rnacentral:rRNA from 1 species